CAUUGUAAGAGAAGUAUUUCCAAAGGAACUGAAGGAUAUGAAGAAUGAGUGUUCUUGCCAUUCUUUGUUUAGUAAUCGUAAUCGUUAAUAACUGUAAAAAUACAUACAAUUUGUUGGAAAAAUCCAAGUGUUUUCCAAGUUGUCCUGUUAUCUCUUGCAAACACUCAGUUGUUUGUCAUGGCACUAAGACCGUUUUGAGAUUAUAACUACAAUUCUAAGUGGAAUACGAUAAACUGGUAGCCAAAUACAGUGUUGUCUUGUAUAGAAAUCUGUAGUAAAAAAGUUUCCGAGGCGCUCAAACUAUGAUUUUCAAGCGUUGGCAACUCUUAUCACUGUGGAUACUGGAUGGAGUUGUGUUGUGAAUGUGAAGACGGGCGACGUCAGUCUGCCGCAGGCAAGUCCCCGUCACAAAUCACAAUACCCUUGAAGGAUAUCUCAUAUAUCGGUUGUAAAAGGAGAAAAUUGUCAUGAAACACAGGAGCUAGCCAUUUGCUGUACGCAGAACGGGAGUUUUUUCUAUGCCUACGGGGAUCAUAAUGGACCAUAUUGUCAAGGAACAGAAGUUUAUUCUAUAACUUCGGGGAUCAGAACAGAGAUCAUUGUCAAAGAACAGUAGGAGUUAACCAUUUGCUGAACGCAGUAAUAGGAGCCGUUACUACAACUGCCACGAUCAGAAACAACGUCUCACUUUGAAGAUGGAACAAGGAGAAAAAGGAGGAAGUAUGAAGUACCAGAGCUACACUCUGGAGGACUUCCUCCUCAGCAGCCAUGUGGAACAGAUGGAGUUUAUGAUGCUCUCCCCUGGCAUGUUGCAGACUGCCUACGACAAGGAGCGUUGGAGCAACCAGUUCCUCAAGUUUCUGAAGACCAUAGUGCACCUCGGCCGAAUUGUAUUUCUGCAAACUUUGGUAAGGGCCUGUGGCAUUUCCUG